AGAAGGCCUGGAGGAGCUUCGGGGAGCAGGGGCUGGAGUUCCUCUGCCAGGCAGGAGGCUGACACCAGACACCGGGCAGAGGGAGGCGGCGCAUGGACGGCGAGGGCCCAGCAAGGAUUCUCCCCAGCCCCUGUGCCUGCGUCUCCUGCGGCUUCUGUGCGCGGACCGUGUCCUGUGCUGUGUAGGGAAAGCUGCUUCUCUGCUUGGGACGUGGAUUCCUUUACCCUCCUCCUCGCCUGACUACUUCUGACGCGGGUCGUCAGGACUCCGCUUGGGUGUCACCCGUCCAGGAAGCCUCCCUUAAUUAAGGGCCCUCGGCACCCACCCCAUAUGUGAUUAGCAGCCCUCCUGUGUAUUUCAUCGCACCUCGUUGUUUAUAUCAACUACUCCACUCACCACCCUUCUGGGCAGUCCUUUAUCUCCCCCUCUGAAAUCCGAUCGCUGAGGGCUGGGACCCUCAUCAGUACUUAUCCCCGUUUCUCUGCGCUAGUCUAAUUAGUGCCUGGCAAGUUGAAGGCGCUCAGUAAACGUUUGUGGAGCGAAGAAACGACGGAUAGGGCGUAAUGAGCACGACACACGCAAUCAGAGAGGACGCAGUUAGGAGGCUAUUGGCCCGGGGCAGGCGUGAAGGGGGAAGAUCGGGCUCGGGGUGGGA
rnacentral:lncRNA from 1 species